rnacentral:rRNA from 1 species
GAUGAACGCUGGCGGCGUGCCUAAUACAUGCCAGUCGAGCGAACGGACGAGAAGCUUGCUUCUCUGAUGUUAGCGGCGGACGGGUGAGUAACACGUGGAUAACCUACCUAUAAGACUGGGAUAACUUCGGGAAACCGGAGCUAAUACCGGAUGAUAUUUUGAACCGCAUGGUUCAAAAGUGAAAGACGGUCUUGCUGUCACUUAUAGAUGGAUCCGCGCUGCAUUAGCUAGUUGGUAAGGUAACGGCUUACCAAGGCAACGAUGCAUAGCCGACCUGAGAGGGUGAUCGGCCACACUGGAACUGAGACACGGUCCAGACUCCUACGGGAGGCAGCAGUAGGGAAUCUUCCGCAAUGGGCGAAAGCCUGACGGAGCAACGCCGCGUGAGUGAUGAAGGUCUUCGGAUCGUAAAACUCUGUUAUUAGGGAAGAACAUAUGUAUAAGUAACUGUGCACAUCUUGACGGUACCUAAUCAGAAAGCCACGGCUAACUACGUG